rnacentral:rRNA from 1 species
GAUGAACGCUGGCGGCGUGCCUAAUACAUGCAAGUCGAGCGAACAGAUGAGGAGCUUGCUCCUCUGCCGUUAGCGGCGGACGGGUGAGUAACACGUGGAUAACCUACCUAUAAGACUGGGAUAACUUAGGGAAACCGGAGCUAAUACCGGAUAAUAUAUUGAACCGCAUGGUUCAAUAGUGAAAGACGGUUUUGCUGUCACUUAUAGAUGGAUCCGCGCCGCAUUGGUUAGUUGGUAAGGUAACGGCUUUCCAAGGCAACGAUGCGUAGCCGACCUGAGAGGGUGAUCGGCCACACUGGAACUGAGACACGGUCCAGACUCCUACGGGAGGCAGCAGUAGGGAAUCUUCCGCAAUGGGCGAAAGCCUGACGGAGCAACGCCGCGUGAGUGAUGAAGGUCUUCGGAUCGUAAAGCUCUGUUAUUAGGGAAGAACAAAAGUGUAAGUAACUAUGCACGUCUUGACGGUACCUAAUCAGAAAGCCACGGCUAACUACGUG